GGCUCAGAUUGAACGCUGGCGGCAGGCCUAACACAUGCAAGUCGAACGGUAGCACAGAGAGCUUGCUCUCGGGUGACGAGUGGCGGACGGGUGAGUAAUGUCUGGGAAACUGCCUGAUGGAGGGGGAUAACUACUGGAAACGGUAGCUAAUACCGCAUAACGUCGCAAGACCAAAGAGGGGGACCUUCGGGCCUCUUGCCAUCAGAUGUGCCCAGAUGGGAUUAGCUAGUAGGUGGGGUAACGGCUCACCUAGGCGACGAUCCCUAGCUGGUCUGAGAGGAUGACCAGCCACACUGGAACUGAGACACGGUCCAGACUCCUACGGGAGGCAGCAGUGGGGAAUAUUGCACAAUGGGCGCAAGCCUGAUGCAGCCAUGCCGCGUGUAUGAAGAAGGCCUUCGGGUUGU
rnacentral:rRNA from 1 species